GAAAGCCAUAUUCUCCGAGCCUUCCUUGCUAAGGCCCGCUCCCGAGGCGGGUUAUGCGGAAAGGCCGAUAGGGUGUUCCGGGAAACUUGGGCGCCUCCCGACUUUGGAAAGGAGAAUCGUCAUGUCAUAC
rnacentral:ncRNA from 2 species